AUUGAACGCUGGCGGCAGGCUUAACACAUGCAAGUCGAGCGGAGAUGAGGUGCUUGCACCUCAUCUUAGCGGCGGACGGGUGAGUAAUGCUUAGGAAUCUGCCUAUUAGUGGGGGACAACAUUCCGAAAGGAACGCUAAUACCGCAUACGUCCUACGGGAGAAAGCAGGGGACCUUCGGGCCUUGCGCUAUCAGAUGAGCCUAGGUCGGAUUAGCUAGUUGGUGAGGUAAUGGCUCACCAAGGCGACGAUCCGUAACUGGUCUGAGAGGAUGAUCAGUCACACUGGAACUGAGACACGGUCCAGACUCCUACGGGAGGCAGCAGUGGGGAAUAUUGGACAAUGGGCGAAAGCCUGAUCCAGCCAUGCCGCGUGUGUGAAGAAGGUCUUCGGAUUGUAAAGCACUUUAAGUUGGGAGGAAGGGUUGUAGAUUAAUACUCUGCAAUUUUGACGUUACCGACAGAAUAAGCACCGGCUAACUCUGUGCCAGCCGCCGCAGUAACAC
rnacentral:rRNA from 1 species